AUUGAACGCUGGCGGCAUGCUUUACACAUGCAAGUCGAACGGUAACAGGGUGCUUGCACCGCUGACGAGUGGCGAACGGGUGAGUAAUGCGUCGGAACGUGCCGAGUAGUGGGGGAUAACGCAGCGAAAGUUGCGCUAAUACCGCAUACGUACUGAGGUAGAAAGUGGGGGACCUUCGGGCCUCACGCUAUUCGAGCGGCCGACGUCUGAUUAGCUAGUAGGUGAGGGAAAGGCUAACCUAGGCGACGAUCAGUAGCGGGUCUGAGAGGAUGAUCCGCCACACUGGGCCUGAGACACGGCCCAGACUCCUACGUGAGGCAGCAGUGGUGAAUUUUGGACAAUGGGCGAAAGCCUGAUCCAGCCAUGCCGCGUGUCUGAAGAAGGCCUUCGGGGUGUAAAGGACUUUUGUCAGGGAGGAAAUCCCUAGUGCUAAUAACACUGGGGGAUGACAGUACCUGAAGAAUAAGCACCGGCUAACUACGUGCCAGCCGCCGCAGUAA
rnacentral:rRNA from 1 species